GAUGAACGCUGGCGGCGUGCCUAAUACAUGCAAGUCGAGCGAACGGACGAGAAGCUUGCUUCUCUGAUGUUAGCGGCGGACGGGUGAGUAACACGUGGAUAACCUACCUAUAAGACUGGGAUAACUUCGGGAAACCGGCGCUAAUACCGGAUAAUAUUUUGAACCGCAUGGUUCAAAAGUGAAAGACGGUCUUGCUGUCACUUAUAGAUGGAUCCGCGCUGCAUUAGCUAGUUGGUAAGGUAACGGCUUACCAAGGCAACGAUGCAUAGCCGACCUGAUAGGGUGAUCGGCCACACUGGAACUGAGACACGGUCCAGACUCCUACGGGAGGCAGCAGUAGGGAAUCUUCCGCAAUGGGCGAAAGCCUGACGGAGCAACGCCGCGUGAGUGAUGAAGGUCUUCGGAUCGUAAAACUCUGUUAUUAGGGAAGAACAUAUGUGUAAGUAACUGUGCACAUCUUGACGGUACCUAAUCAGAAAGCCACGGCUAACUACGUG
rnacentral:rRNA from 1 species